rnacentral:rRNA from 1 species
UACGUAGGGUGCAAGCGUUGUCCGGAAUUAUUGGGCGUAAGAGCUUGUAGGCGGUCUGUCGGCGUCGGAUGUGAAAACCCGGGGCUUAACCCCGGGCCUGCAUUCGAGACGGGCAGACUCGAGUGUGGUAGGGGAGACUGGAACUCCUGGUGUACGCGGUGAAUGCGCAGAUAUAGGAGAACACCGGUGGCGAAGGCGGGUCUCUGGGCCACUACUGACGCUGAGGAGCGAAAGCGUGGGAGCGAACAGG